GGGCCCGUAGUCUAGUGGCUAUGACGUCUCCCUCACGCGGAGAAGGUCCCCGGUUCAAAUCCGGGCGGGCCCA
rnacentral:tRNA from 1 species